AAUUCCACUUGACAAACACAUAAUGAAGCAUAUUUUAUUUAAAGAGAUAUUACUUGCACUUCUUUUUUUCUUCUAACUGAUCGGAAUAACAAGUGUUUAAAUUAUUCUGGUAAGAUGGCAGUGUUUUAGGAAGAACAUUUUCAUUACUGGGGCUUUUUAGAUUUCACCCAAGCCUUGAAUCCUUGGAGAGGUUCAUCGUUCAUGGCUUUAUAGUCAGGUAUUUCUUCUUUAACUUUAGCCAUCCAUGCAGAUAUUUUAGGAAAACUGCUGAAUUUGUAGUCUAAUA